GGGGAUGUACUGGUUUCGACGGGGGUGCGGAGGCAGGAAUAGCGGGCGGAUGCGCCUGGCAUCCAUAAAACGGGCAGCUUAUAAAUUAAAGAACAACGACAACACUGUUCUUCUCGCCGCUUAAUGCGCGAGCGUCUCUUCCGGGAGGCCCACGGCCCGGAAAGAGGCGUCGAUGAGUGGGGACCGUGAGUACGCAAAGCUUUGAGCGUGCCAUGCAUCAUGAAGCUACCGAGUCCGCGAGCAUGACGGCUUGCGCACGGACGAGGGAACGCAAAUAACCGUCUGCGCCCGGAGAAGUUCCUGAGGAAGCGCUUUCGGACGGGGGUUCGAUUCCCCCCAUCUCCACCA
rnacentral:tmRNA from 1 species